GCAAUUCCUUAUAGGGGCGUUAAAGGGGGGGCGGUCUAAUACAUGCAGUCGAGCGGACAGAAGGGAGCUUGCUCCCGGAUGUUAGCGGCGGACGGGUGAGUAACACGUGGGUAACCUGCCUGUAAGACUGGGAUAACUCCGGGAAACCGGAGCUAAUACCGGAUAGUUCCUUGAACCGCAUGGUUCAAGGAUGAAAGACGGUUUCGGCUGUCACUUACAGAUGGACCCGCGGCGCAUUAGCUAGUUGGUGAGGUAACGGCUCACCAAGGCGACGAUGCGUAGCCGACCUGAGAGGGUGAUCGGCCACACUGGGACUGAGACACGGCCCAGACUCCUACGGGAGGCAGCAGUAGGGAAUCUUCCGCAAUGGACGAAAGUCUGACGGAGCAACGCCGCGUGAGUGAUGAAGGUUUUCGGAUCGUAAAGCUCUGUUGUUAGGGAAGAACAAGUGCAAGAGUAACUGCUUGCACCUUGACGGUACCUAACCAGAAAGCCACGGCUAACUACGUGCCAGCAGCCGCGGUAAUACGUAGGUGGCAAGCGUUGUCCGGAAUUAUUGGGCGUAAAGGGCUCGCAGGCGGUUUCUUAAGUCUGAUGUGAAAGCCCCCGGCUCAACCGGGGAGGGUCAUUGGAAACUGGG
rnacentral:rRNA from 1 species